rnacentral:rRNA from 2 species
AAGUCUGACGGAGCAACGCCGCGUGAGUGAUGAAGGCUUUCGGGUCGUAAAACUCUGUUGUUAGGGAAGAACAAGUACAAGAGUAACUGCUUGUACCUUGACGGUACCUAACCAGAAAGCCACGGCUAACUACGUGCCAGCAGCCGCGGUAAUACGUAGGUGGCAAGCGUUAUCCGGAAUUAUUGGGCGUAAAGCGCGCGCAGGCGGUUUCUUAAGUCUGAUGUGAAAGCCCACGGCUCAACCGUGGAGGGUCAUUGGAAACUGGGGAACUUGAGUGCAGAAGAGAAAAGCGGAAUUCCACGUGUAGCGGUGAAAUGCGUAGAGAUGUGGAGGAACACCAGUGGCGAAGGCGGCUUUUUGGUCUGUAACUGACGCUGAGGCGCGAAAGCGUGGGGAGCAAACAGGAUUAGAUACCCUGGUAGUCCACGCCGUAAACGAUGAGUGCUAAGUGUUAGAGGGUUUCCGCCCUUUAUUGCUGCAGCUAACGCAUUAAGCACUCCGCCUGGGGAGUACGGUCGCAAAACUGAAACUCAAAGGAAUUGACG